rnacentral:rRNA from 1 species
CCUACGGGCGGCAGCAGUAGGGAAUAUUGCUCAAUGGGGGAAACCCUGAAGCAGCAACGCCGCGUGGAGGAUGAAGGUUUUAUGAUUGUAAACUCCUUUUGUGAGAGAAGAUAAUGACGGUAUCUCACGAAUAAGCACCGGCUACCUCCGUGCCAGCAGCCGCGGUCACACGGAGGGUGCAAGCGUUACUCGGGAUCACUGGGCGUAAAGCGUGCGUAGGCGGGCUUGUAAGUCAGGUGUGAAAUCCUGUAGCUUAACUACAGAACUGCAGUUGAAACUAUGAGUCUAGAGUGUGGGAGAGGUAGGUGGAAUUCUUGGUGUAGGGGUAAAAUCCGUAGAUAUCAAGAAGAAUACUCAUUGCGAAGGCGACCUACUGGAGCAUAACUGACGCUCAUGCACGAAAGCGUGGGGAGCGAACAGGAUUAGAUACCCGAGUAGUC